AUGGGCAUGGAAACUUACAUGCAAAUACUCGUUGUGGAUGAACUAUAGAUCCCAAUCCCAAUAUAAAUAAGUACUUAAUACAUUUUAAAAUGAGCACGCAAGUUUAGAGAUACGCGAACGUGACAUUUAAUCAACGUUUAGAUCAUAAAUAGUGGAUGAGGGCACUUCUCGUGUCUAUUAACAAUUCAACAGAACAAACAUGUUGCGAUUUAUUUUGUAACAUGAAGAAUGGAGAAAUGUGGAAAAUAAGAAAAGCUAUGUUGG